ensembl:lncRNA
GCCCACACAGAAUACAGAUUCCUGCAUAUUUCUCCCGUUUGACUGGUUUGGAUUGAGAAAACGUCAUGUGCUCAGGCCAAGGGAGAUGGCAAGAAGCUGCUGGAUAACAGUCUCCCAGGUUCAAGACUAAUGCCUUUGGCCUCCAGCUGGUGUGGAGCUCCAUGCUUGCUGACAGGGCUUGGCUGGAGGUUGGGGCUGAGAGCCAGGUACUGCACAGCCUGCUGGGGCUACAGUACACCCAGGCCAGGCAGCUGUCCAGGGGACAACUCUCCUCUCUGGCUGGGGACAGAUGGCAAGACCGGCUGAUGGACUCGGUCACAGCAGCCAUCUUCCUCCCCCCUGACCUCUUCAAUGAAGAUCCCAGCGGUCUCUACGUUCUGGACAAGACUUCAACCCCCCCCCCUCCCUACACCUCUGAUGAAUAUAACUGGAAACCCGUUCAAUCACCAUGCACUGCAAAAUCAUUCUGACUAGGGAGACGAAGGUUAUCAACACAUUAACACGCCAGAGGAUAUACUGAUUGAACUUUAUCUCAUAUUUAGAUGUUUGAAUUCUGCUUUGCCA